UACGUAGGGGGCAAGCGUUGUCCGGAAUCAUUGGGCGUAAAGAGCGCGUAGGCGGCCCUGUAAGUCCGCUGUGAAAGUCAAGGGCUCAACCCUUGAAUGCCGCUGGAUACUGCUUGACUUGAGUCCGGAAGGGGCGAGUGGAAUUCCUGGUGUAGCGGUGAAAUGCGCAGAUAUCAGGAGGAACACCAAUGGCGAAGGCAGCUCGCUGGAACGGUACUGACGCUGAGGCGCGAAAGCGUGGGGAGCGAACAGG
rnacentral:rRNA from 1 species